GUUGACAAUGGCAGCAGACUGUAAUGAGAUAGCUGCAUAAGAUGCAUUCCCCGCUAUGUUGAUGAGAUUUGUUUUAUGGCUAGCUACUUCCCAGGUGCUCAGGGAGCUCAAGAUGCCCACUUCUGAGCAGGAAAAAUUAUGGAUCGGCGGAACACAGCAGUUAGAGAAGAAAAGGAUUUUAAAGCUACAAACUGUCUACACACACAAAUCUCUUACCUAGUCUGAAUAUGGCCUGAUGGUAGCCUAGGCAGGCUUAACUUCUUCAGGUAGACCUAGGUGGUGCAUGCAGACACCAGUUUCUGCUCCCAGGAUUCCUUUGAAGUGUUUCCCCUACUGAGACACUGAAACUUCCAGAGUUCCACUGAAGGAGUGAAACAGAG